GCCUGACCUGGGGCAGCCAAGGUUCAGCUCUGAUUUUUUCAUCCAGUGAGCCCUGCCUCUAGCUCUCUGCUCAGCCUGGUGUUUUCUGCCAAGCGGAAAUCCCUGGGCACGGCCUUGGCGGGAGGUCAGGGAGGGAAGAUUCUUUUCCUCUGCUGUCACCCAGUUGUUUGCAGCCCAAGCAGCAGAACAAACACACAUGGUGUCAUGGUUGAAGAAUUCAGACCCGUCCUGGGGCCUGAAACAAGCAAAAGCAGCAUGGCUGAUGCAAGGGGCUCCUGGACUGUAGAUGGCAUUUCUGCUUCUCUGUCCCUGCCUGGAUGCGGUGAGGGCUGCAGAGACUGUCCGCAGCUAUCAUGUGGCCUAGCACAGAGGCGCUCUUGUUCUCAGCCAGGAGACCCCCUGGUGCUAAAAGGCUGGUGCUGUGCACCUCACCCGGAUGCCCAGCCUCCCCUGCAUCAGGGACUGAAGCUGCCAGACAGAACAGCUUAAAGGAUCUGGGCUCUUGCUCCCUCCCUGCUGCACCAGGUCAGUCCUGUCCCUGCUUUCCCUGCCCCUCAUGGCUUUGGACUUGAUGGGCAGGUCCAAGUCCAGCCCCUGGGGUUCCCAGAGAACAGGUGUGUAUAGUAUAAACUGACCAAGGGUAGUGCUGGCCUGUCUUCCCAGUGAGGAGACAGGUUGGGGUGGGAAUAGAGGAAGGAGUGUGUCACGUUCCUGGUCUUGGGGGCAAUGCGGCCUUAUUGGCUCCUAAAAAUUCCAAAGCCCUUUGCGUUAGAAGUUGAAGAUGUGACAUUUUUUGCAGUAGGGCAACUGAGGGCGUUGUAGAAACUCUUACUUUUACUUUUCUAGCUCCCUUACUCCAGGGCCCGCGUCCUCUACUGAAAGGGAGGUCAAGGACCUUCAUCCCCAGCCCCCUCCCGGUACUAGCCCCUGGGUCUAGGCAGGAGAUGCGUGCCCCCCCCCCCAUAGGGCAUGCCGGCCUCGUCUUCCCCCAGGAAGAGAAGGGAGAUUCUGGGCUAGAGACACAGGAUGGUCUCACCCCCUUCCCCUGCCCGCCCAGCCCAAACAACUGGAGACACCCCCCACCCCCAGGUUUCUUUCAGCUCAUUUCUUUAAUAAGGAGACGCAGCUCAUUACAAAAUAACAAUUUGACAAGAGUUCAGACAAGAACAACAGAGUCCACAUAAGGUGGGUGGAGAACAUCGCCAAGCAGAGGGGAGAAGGGAGGCCAGGGCUGUACGUGUGUCCUUCCCGUGGAGACGAAGGCAGGGCUCCUGGUGGGGCAACCGGGGCCGGGCUCUGCCCCAGCGUUUUCAGGCAGCAGCAGAUCAAGUCUUUAGGGGUCCCUUUUCAAAGAUGCCUGACCCUUCUGCCUGUCUAAAGUCCUGAUUACUGAGACAGGCGAUGCAGGGGGACUCCCAAAGCCCCCGCCCCUGCUCUUGCCUCGAUGCCUGUCUCGGCGGGGGGCGUGGAGGGCUCCUGAGAGAGCAGGACAGGCCGGCCCUGUGCUCAUCCGAGCCUGCUCUGGAGGGGUCCUCUCCCCUCCCCCCAUUCUUUCAUGUCCUCCGCACAGAGCCCUGGGAUUUGUGUGUGCUCCCAACUCCCAGUUUGGGGGUGGGGGGAAGCUCACCUCGCUGGCACUGGCCUCAUAUCCGCCCCCUGGUUCCCUUCCUGUUUGUCUCUCUUUACUCCUGCUCCUCACAGUGGCCUGGGGCCUCCUGGGUUAUUCCCCUGUGGUACUGCCCUCGCCGGGUGCCUGCAGGUCCAGGGGCUGCAGGCUGGGGAGCACCUGCUCCCCUCAGUUCAACACAAUGAUCUGGGACCUUGGAAGCCCCCAGUCCCCCCCUGCCCACCUUGCUGCUGCGCUCUGCCCACGUGUGUCCUCUGAGCCUCCUCAUCCCUGGACCUGCCCAGCGCUCUCGGAGCCCGGAGGGGGCACUCACUGCCCUUCUGCCCAGGCAGCAUCCUCCAUGCCCCUCCACGGACCCUGAUGCCACAGUGAACAGACUUUGGGAUGAAAACUCACAGCCCCACAGGCACCCACAACCCCUCCCUACCCAGACACCCUACCCUACCCUACGGCAUGCCCGCGUCACAGUACACUCACAUCCCCAGAACUGAACCAGCAAGAGAAGGAAGCUCUGCGGUUUGGGUGACCAUCAGCCGUUGGCGUAGAAAACUGACAAGCAUAAACAAGCCCAGCCCCAGGACCCAGACGGAUGCCAUCUGCCAGCGUGGCACAUCAGGACCAGCCGGCCUGGGACACAACUGCCCCCACACACACACACCAGCUCCACACUCAUGCCAAGACUCAAAGUCGCUCAGCAACCUGCCCCCACCUUCAAGGCUGCUCGCUAGAGAUGGGCUCAGAGUAAUAAAAUCCAGCCCCUUCCACCACCAGGGCGCCUGCCAUUUCCUUCCCUUCCGUGUCAGGGACGUGGCAAAUCUUGGGCUCUGUAAGGGCUGAAGGAGGUUCAUGGACAGAAAACAACCUCCUGGUGGUAGAAGAUAGAUUGGGAAAGGGCAAGAGAAGGAAGGUAGAGGGCAGAGACUGACAGUUUUCCAUGAAUGGGGUCUAUAGGACAUGGGUGAGGAGAAUGAGUGUGGGAAGAGACCCUGAGAAAGCACCAAAAUCCCACAGCUCUGGGGACAGGAGAAGAGUCUAGUGACUUCUGAAAUCCCACUCCGUGGCCACCCAGAUUCUGAAGGCACCCUCCUGUCCUACAGCUCUCUACCGCGACUACAACUCUGGUCCCAAGGACCACAGCUCAUAAUCCUGAUUGGAGUCCUACCUUCCCCAUCAUUAAGUACACGCAUCUACACAUCCAUACAUGCACAUAUACACACAGAGUCCGGUAAAAAUAUAACUUCCCAUGUACCACUAGCAAGACAGAGAAGGGUCUCUGAGAGGCUGAGCCCUACUUCCCAGUCUGCUGCUGCUAGAGGUGUUCCUUCAUUCCCUACUUCAAACAAAAACAGAAACUCCUUCCCUUUUUUAAGAGAAAAUAAAAAGACACUCUGCACCUUCUU